UCCCCUAGUAACUGCGAGUGAAGCGGGAAAAGCUCAAAUUUAAAAUCUGGCGGUCUUUGGCCGUCCGAGUUGUAAUUUAGAGAAGCGUCUUCCGCGCCGGACCGUGCACAAGUCUCCUGGAAUGGAGCGUCAUAGAGGGUGAGAAUCCCGUCUUUGGCACGGAUGCCCGGUGCUUCUGUGAUGCGCUCUCGAAGAGUCGAGUUGUUUGGGAAUGCAGCUCAAAAUGGGUGGUGAACUCCAUCUAAAGCUAAAUAUUGGCGAGAGACCGAUAGCGAACAAGUACCGUGAGGGAAAGAUGAAAAGCACUUUGGAAAGAGAGUGAAACAGUACGUGAAAUUGUUGAAAGGGAAACGCUUGAAGUCAGUCGCGUCGACCGAGACUCAGCCUUGCCUCGGCUUGGUGUACUUCUCGGCCCGACGGGUCAGCGUCAAUUUUGCCCCUCGGAUAAUGGCAAGGGAAAGGUGGCACCUUUACGGGUGUGUUAUAGUCUCCUGUCGCAUGCGAGGGGUGGGAUUGAGGAACUCAGCGCGCACCUUGGUGUCGGGGCUUCGGCCCACGUCACGCGCUUAGGAUGCUGGCGUAAUGGCUUUAAACGACCCGUCUUGAAACACGGACCAAGGAGUCCAACACGCCCGCGAGUGUUCGGGUGGAAAACCCGUGCGCGUAAUGAAAGUGAAAGUUGGGACCUCUGUCGUGGAGGGCACCGACGCCCGGACCAGACCUUCUGUGACGGAUCUGCGGUAGAGCGUGUGUGUUGGGACCCGAAAGAUGGUGAACUAUGCCUGAAUAGGGUGAAGCCAGAGGAAACUCUGGUGGAGGCUCGUAGCGAUUCUGACGUGCAAAUCGAUCGUCAAAUUUGGGUAUAGGGGCGAAAGACUAAUC
rnacentral:rRNA from 1 species